GCUCUCGUAGUUAAGUGGAUAUAAUAAACCCCUCCUAAGGGUUAGUCACCAGUUCGACUCUGGUCGGGAGUACCA
rnacentral:tRNA from 8 species